GCAUACGCCCUACGGGGGAAAGGUCCGCCGGAGAAAGAGGGGCCCGCGUCUGAUUAGCUUGUUGGUAGGGUAAUGGCCUACCAAGGCUACGAUCAGUAGCUGGUCUGAGAGGAUGAUCAGCAACACUGGGACUGAGACACGGCCCAGACUCCUACGGGAGGCAGCAGUGGGGAAUCUUAGACAAUGGGCGCAAGCCUGAUCUAGCCAUGCCGCGUGAGUGAAGAAGGCCUUAGGGUCGUAAAACUCUUUCGCCAGAGAUGAUAAUGACAGUAUCUGGUAAAGAAACCCCGGCUAACUCCGUGCCAGCAGCCGCGGUAAUACGGAGGGGGUUAGCGUUGUUCGGAAUUACUGGGCGUAAAGCGCACGUAGGCGGACUGGAAAGUUGGGGGUGAAAUCCCGGGGCUCAACCUCGGAACUGCCUCCAAAACUAUCAGUCUAGAGUUCGAGAGAGGUGAGUGGAAUUCCAAGUGUAGAGGUGAAAUUCGUAGAUAUUUGGAGGAACACCAGUGGCGAAGGCGGCUCACUGGCUCGAUACUGACGCUGAGGUGCGAAAGUGUGGGGAGCAAACAGGAUUAGAUACCCUGGUAGUCCACACCGUAAACGAUGAAUGCCAGUCGUCGGCAAGUAUACUUGUCGGUGACACACCUAACGGAUUAAGCAUUCCGCCUGGGGAGUACGGUCGCAAGAUUAAAACUCAAAGGAAUUGACGGGGGCCCGCACAAGCGGUGGAGCAUGUGGUUUAAUUCGAAGC
rnacentral:rRNA from 1 species